UAGGGAAUCUUCCACAAUGGACGAAAGUCUGAUGGAGCAACGCCGCGUGAGUGAAGAAGGGUUUCGGCUCGUAAAACUCUGUUGUUAAAGAAGAACAUAUCUGAGAGUAACUGUUCAGGUAUUGACGGUAUUUAACUAGAAAGCCACGGCUAACUACGUGCCAG
rnacentral:rRNA from 1 species